GCUGGGCGUGGUGGUGGGCGCCUGUAAUCCCAGUUACUCAGGAGGCUGAGGCAGGAGAAUUGCUUGAACCCGGGAGGCAGAGGUUGCAGUGAGCCGAGAUCGUGCCACUGCACUCCAGCCUGGGCAACAGAGCAAGACUCUGUCUCAA
rnacentral:sRNA from 1 species